GACGAACGCUGGCGGCGUGCUUAACACAUGCAAGUCGAACGGAAAGGCCCUGCUUUUGUGGGGUGCUCGAGUGGCGAACGGGUGAGUAACACGUGAGUAACCUGCCCUUGACUUUGGGAUAACUUCAGGAAACUGGGGCUAAUACCGGAUAGGAGCUCCUGCUGCAUGGUGGGGGUUGGAAAGUUUCGGCUGUUGGGGAUGGACUCGCGGCUUAUCAGCUUGUUGGUUGGGUAGUGGCUUACCAAGGCUUUGACGGGUAGCCGGCCUGAGAGGGUGACCGGCCACAUUGGGACUGAGAUACGGCGCAGACUGCUACGGGAGGCAGCAGUGGGGAAUAUUGCACACUGGGAGGAAGCCUGAUGAAGCAACGCCGCGUGCGGGAUGACGGCCUUCGGGUUGUAAACCGCUUUCGCCUGUGACGAAGCGUGAGUGACGGUAAUGGGUAAAGAAGCACCGGCUAACUACGUG
rnacentral:rRNA from 1 species